rnacentral:tRNA from 1 species
UUCGUUGUCGUCCACUGGUUAGGAUAUCUGGUUUUCACCCAGGAGACCUGGGUUCGAUUCCCUGCAACGGAA